GCUUGCUUUCUUUGCUGGCGACCGGCGCACGGGUGAGUAACACGUAUCCAACCUACCCUUUACUCGGGGAUAGCCUUUCGAAAGAAAGAUUAAUACCCGAUAGCAUAAUGAUUCCGCAUGGUUUCAUUAUUAAAGGAUUCCGGUAAAGGAUGGGGAUGCGUUCCAUUAGGUUGUUGGUGGGGUAACGGCCACCAAGCCUUCGAUGGAUAGGGGUUCUGAGAGGAAGGUCCCCCACAUUGGAACUGAGACACGGUCCAAACUCCUACGGGAGGCAGCAUG
rnacentral:rRNA from 1 species